rnacentral:rRNA from 1 species
CGCGCAGGCGGUCGAUCAAGUCGAGUGUGAAAGCCCCCGGCUCAACUGGGGGGGGUCAUUCGAUACUGAUCGACUCGAAGGCAGGAGAGGGUAGUGGAAUUCCCGGUGUAGUGGUGAAAUGCGUAGAUAUCGGGAGGAACACCAGUGGCGAAGGCGACUACCUGGCCUGUUCUUGACGCUGAGGCGCGAAAGCUAGGGGAGCAAACG